GCACAUGGCUCUCGAGUUCUCUCUCU
rnacentral:piRNA from 1 species